UGCACUCUGGAAUAAAAUCAAAUGAAUUUAAUUGAAAGCAUUGGGCGCAUAAGGACAUUCGCUGCACACAUGAUCCAUGACAAAGGAAAUUGAAAUGUGGAACGAUGCAUCCUUGCAACUAUUUUUUCCACCUUGAAAUUGUUUGUGUCUCGAAACUGAUACGUAAAAGCGAUGACAGUGGCUUGUACAUCGGAUCUUGAAGCGUUGUUUACAUCAAAGCAUGAAA